CUGAAUCAAUCACACCCUUAAGACUUUGGAUGUUGAUGUUGUCCAAAGUGUUGGAGUGUGAUGUGACUCAGAG